CCCUUAGAUGUCCUGGGCUGCACGCGCGCUACACUGGAAGUUACGGAUUGAGAUACUACCUUGUCCGAAAUGGUCCGGGUAAUCACCUAAAAGCUUGUCAUAAUUGGAAUGGAUUAUUGCAGCUAGUAAUCCUGAACGAGGAAUUCCUAGUAAGUCCCAGUCAACAGCUGGUACUGAUUACGUCCCUGCCCUUUGUACACACCGCCCGUCGCUACUACUGAUUGGACGUUUAAGCAAGAUUUUUAAACACUGACAGUGUGUAGUUCACGCUAUACUACAGUGAGAAGAAGAAGAUCGAGCUUACUUGUCUAGAGGAAGUAAAAGUCGUAACA
rnacentral:rRNA from 1 species